CCUACGGGAGGCAGCAGUGGGGAAUAUUGGGCAAUGGGCGCAAGCCUGACCCAGCAACGCCGCGUGAAGGAAGAAGGCUUUCGGGUUGUAAACUUCUUUUAAGAGGGAAGAGAAGAAGACGGUACCUCUUGAAUAAGCCACGGCUAACUACGUGCCAGCAGCCGCGGGAAUACGUAGGUGGCAAGCGUUGUCCGGAUUUACUGGGUGUAAAGGGAGUGCAGCCGGGCUGACAAGUCAGAUGUGAAAUCCCGCGGCUCAACCGCGGAACUGCAUUUGAAACUGUCAGUCUUGAGUACCGGAGAGGUCAUCGGAAUUCCUUGUGUAGCGGUGAAAGGCGUAGAUAUAAGGAAGAACACCAGUGGCGAAGGCGGAUGACUGGACGGCAACUGACGGUGAGGCGCGAAAGCGUGGGGAGCAAACAGGAUUAGAUACCCGAGUAGUC
rnacentral:rRNA from 1 species